ACCGGCAGCCAUAUCACCCUGUAGCCCAAGACUGGUUGCCCACUGAAGCUAAGCAGGGCUGAGCCUGGUCAGUACCUGGAUUGGAGACCUCCUGGGGAAAAACUAGGUUGCUGCUGGAA
rnacentral:rRNA from 1 species